rnacentral:rRNA from 1 species
UGGGGAAUUUUGGACAAUGGGGGAAACCCUGAUCCAGCCAUCCCGCGUGUGCGAUGAAGGCCUUCGGGUUGUAAAGCACUUUUGGCAGGAAAGAAACGUCGCGGGUUAAUACCCCGCGAAACUGACGGUACCUGCAGAAUAAGCACCGGCUAACUACGUGCCAGCAGCCGCGGUAAUACGUAGGGUGCAAGCGUUAAUCGGAAUUACUGGGCGUAAAGCGUGCGCAGGCGGUUCGGAAAGAAAGAUGUGAAAUCCCAGAGCUUAACUUUGGAACUGCAUUUUUAACUACCGGGCUAGAGUGUGUCAGAGGGAGGUGGAAUUCCGCGUGUAGCAGUGAAAUGCGUAGAUAUGCGGAGGAACACCGAUGGCGAAGGCAGCCUCCUGGGAUAACACUGACGCUCAUGCACGAAAGCGUGGGGAGCAAACAGGAUUAGAUACCCUGGUAGUCCACGCCCUAGACGAUGUCAACUAGCUGUUGGGGCCUUCGGGCCUUGGUAGCGCAGCUAACGCGUGAAGUUGACCGCCUGGGGAGUACGGUCGCAAGAUUAAAACUC